ensembl:lncRNA
GCCUUCCUACCAUCUGCCUCCACACGUAUGCCAACGCUAAAGUUUUUUGUUCCUUCCUUUAGGCACAUUAACUUGAAGAAGACCGGCUGUUUGUAAGGAAAGGAUGGCUUGGAUGAAAGAAUAUGGAAGGAAUUACGCUCACUUGCAGGAUGAGGAAAUGCAGGUCCACUGAUAAGUGAAUCAGAGCCACAGAACUGAGGACUGGGAGGAGAUCUUCAGGGCAAUCCUACCUGCAAGGACCAUGAGGCUCCAAAUCCAGAUGAGAAAAUGACGGCCCAGAGAAGUUAAGUGAAUUAUCCAAGGUUAUGCAUGCUUCCUGCAUGCCAAGUCGCUUCAGUCAUGUCCAAGGUUACCCAGCUACUAAGCACCAGGGCUUGGAUACACACAGAGGCACAUUGGAAAUGCAGUAGAAAACGGCUGCCAGUUUAAAAGCAGAAGUUAAGAAGCACAAACCCAAGCGUGCGGUGACAGGGCUUCAAGCUAGACCAGCUCCCAGCAGAAGUGAGUCCCAAGAUCAUGGAUUCUGUUGCCUCUUCUGUCUUCUGCGAAGUGGCAGAUGCCAGCACCUGGGCUUGAACUUGAUCAUGACUGUUUAUUUCCUAACCUUUUCUGG